GGACCAGGGCGAUUUUCCCAGCGAGAGCCCCCGGGAGCCGUUCCCGGCCUGCGGUGACCCCGCGCUCACGGAGCUCCAGGAGGUGCCGGCGCAGGAGCGGAGCGAGGACCUGGCCACGGAGGAGCACGGGGAGCUGCCCAGGAGCGUGGUGGUGACCCCCAGCAGCCCAAGCCCAGAGCAGCUUGGAGCCUACAAACCCCAGCUCUCCAUCGGGACCACGCCGGGAUACGUCGCGGCCGGGAUUCACCCGCAGCCCGCGGCCGCUCCGCCAGCGGAGAUGGGAAUCUUCUCCCAGGACUACAGCAACCCUGGCCCCCAGCUGUGGCAGCAGCAGGGGGGACCAGCCCAGCUGUGCCUGCUGGAGAAGAUCCACCUGGUCCUGAACAGCAGCCAGGGGUUCCCAGAGCCGGCGGGACGCGGAUCCUUCCCGGAGAAGCGCUGGCCGCCCAGCGAUGUCCCGGAGCAGAUGCUGGUCCCCGAGGAGCUGCUGUCCUGCCUCAGAGCUGUCAACAGGGAGCCUGUGGAUGGAAAUCCCUGCUCCCCACAGAGCGUGGGAGGGCUGCUCGGAGAGAGGCUGGAACUGGGAUAAAGCCCUGGAGCACCAGGAUUGCCAGUGGAAGAAGAAGAGCAAAGCUCCGGGUUGGAAUUCUGCCCUCUGAACCACUGCAGGUUCUUGGGGCUGCCUGGGGAUCUUGGGCCAGCAAAGCCCAGUUUUAGCCUCACCUCAACUGGCAGGAGCAAAGAACCCACCAAGCUUGGAUUCCUGGAAGGCUGAGCAGGAGAUUCCUGCAGGGUGCAAUAUCUUCAGUUACUGCUCAACAUGGUCCUCUCCUUAAAGCUUUGGAGCAUUUCAUUCCCAAAGGUUUGGAACAUUUUAAUCCCAAAGGUUUGGAACAUUUCAAUCCCAAAGGUUUGGAGUAUUUUAUUCCUAAAGAUUUGGAGCAUUUCAAUCCCAAAGGUUUGGAGCAUUUCAAUCCCAAAGGUUUGGAGCAUUUCAUUCCCAAAGAUUUGGAGNAUUUAAUUCCUGAAGAUUUGGAGCAUUUCAAUCCCAAAGGUUUGGAACAUUUCAAUCCCAAAUGUUUGAACCAUUUAAUUCCCAAAGAUUUGGAGCAUUUAAUUCCCAAAGAUUUGAACCAUUUAAUUCCCAAAGAUUUGAACCAUUUCAUUCCCAAAGAUUUGAACCAUUUCAUUCCCAAAUGUUCGGAGCACUUCAUUCCUGGAGCUAAUUGCAGUUAAAACAGAUAAAAAAAUUUCCUCAGACAUCCUGGCAGAGAUGUGGAAAAUAUUUUGGGAUUGCUCCUGAGGAGCAGACACAGCACCAAGGAGGAUUUCUGUACCAAUUUCUGUCUCACACAGGUGAACAUGGAACCUUUUCUGUCCUUCAUUUUCCUCCCAUUCCAAAAAAAAACCUGCCAGGCUGAUUUAAAAUCCCUCUGAAUCGCUCACUAGCCAAAUCCUUCCCUUUGGGUGAGGGAUUUCUCAUCCCACAGCUCUUCAUCACACUGUGGGGAGAAAAAUGGGAUUUACCAGGCACAAGAACAUGAAUUUGGACACCCAGAAGGUGAAACACAGCAGCCUCCUUCCCCCAGCAGCCCUGAAACCUUUUCCAGGUGUUCUGGGACUUAGAAAAUAUUCCUAAAUUUUAGGAAUUCCUAAAAAUUCCUAAGUUUAAUUCCUAAACUUAGAAAAAAAUCCUAAAUUUCCCCAAUUUUUCCUAAGCACUGUGAGCAUUUCUCCACCAGCUGUGGCACAAAUGGAUUAAUUUUGUUUUUCCUCUCAGUAGUUCCAAAGCACCCUGGUGGGUGCUGUGCCUGCUCCUUUACACCCCCAGGAAUCUGUUCCUGCUUCCAGAGGAGCAGUGACCUGGCAAGGAGGGUGAGGAUUCUUCUUCAGAUCAGCAAAAAAAAUGCAGAAAUGUGAGUGUGGCACUGCAGGGAGCCUAAAAUUAGUGAGUGCUGCCCGUGCAGGAAGGAAAUUGUACAAGAGCAGCUUUCAGCAGUGUGAGGUGGUUUUUAUUUUUUCUCAAUGUCCACAUCCUGAGGCUUGUGCUGCCAAACCUCGAGGGGGGAAAUGCUCCUCUUGCCAGGAAACAGAGCUGCUGCUGCUUUUCAGGGAGCUGCUGGCUGGAUUUGCAGCCCUAAGAGCAGAGCUCCUGCUCUUCCAGCAGGGAUGGAGAGAUCCCAGCUCCCACCAUGGGCAGAGAGCCGUGGGUGCCAGCCCUCCUCGGGAGUCGGAUCCAGAGCCAGAGAUUCCCACUUGUUGUUGAUCAGCUCAGGAAUGAAUUCCAUGAUUUUCACGACCCCCAGAGACGCUCCACGGUGCUGCCUCAUCACUGCCAAGGUUCUAACAAAACCUCACUAAAAAAAAAGGACUUUUUCUACAAAGGGAAAGAGGGAACAAAUGGAAAGAAGCAAGAAAAGGGGUGCAGACAGCUCAGGGAACAGAGAUCCACCCACUCCUGCUCCAUCCCAUCAGAGCAGGAUGUGUCUACGGGGAGCAGCUCAGGGCUGCAAGGAGAUCCCACCACCACCAGAGCCUCCCCUGUGGGACCUGUUCACCUCUUCAAAAAGUCAGCUUGGAAAUGAUUUAAAGCAAAAUGAAGAUAAAGAAACAAUAAAUGAAUUUAACACACAAUAAAUGACGCAUUCAACGCU